AGAAAGGAAAACUGUCUCAGUCGUGCCAAACUGCACGGUGAUCACAUCAAACCCCCUGCUUCAACAUGAGGACCCUUCAUGCCACUGUUCUCCUGCCACUGUUUAUCUGGACUUUGUGUUCAUUGGCUGACACAAGAAAGAUAAGACAGAAAAGAGCAUGGAUCAUUGAUUCUUUCUCUAUUGAAGAAGAACACCCUGGUCCAUUUCCAUAUAAACUAGGCAAGAUUGAACUCGAAAAGACUUAUUUAGUGAAUUUCGAACUCAAAGGCGAGGGUGUUGAUCAAGAGCCAAAGAAUAUUCUCUUAAUUAAUAGAGAUACAGGUGAAAUUGAUGUUUAUGGGAAGGUGGACUAUGAAGCUAUGGACAUGGACAAGAGACUCAAUUUACAAUUUGAAGCGAGAAAUAGAUCCAAUAAUGUAGUGGACACAAGGCUUGGGGUUGAAAUCAAGAUACUGGACAUAAAUGACAACCCCCCAGUAUUUCAGUUAGAGAAAUAUGAAGUAACUGUGAACGAGUCACUUGCGCAAGGUAAAACGAUUCUGACAGUGUUGGCAUCUGAUAAAGAUGAUUCGAGCACAAAAAAUGGCACCUUCUCUUUCACUAUCAAGUCUAUCAUGCCAAAGACAGACAAUGUUGAGUUCUAUAUAAAACAGCAAAAAGAAUCAGGGACAGUUUAUUUUAAAGGGUGUUUGGAUUACCAGAAAGCUCAGAAAUAUGAAAUCCUGAUUGAAGCAAAGGAUCAAGGAGAAAAGAUUCAGCUUUCUAGUACAAGUACACUGAUAGUCAACAUCUUGGACGGAAACAACAACCUUCCAGAAUUCUCAGGCAAAACAGGACCUGGGAAAGUUAAGGAGCGAGAGACUGGGGUUGAAGUUUUGCGACUGCAAGUAACAGACAAAGACAGUCCUGGUUCAAAAGCCUGGAAAGCCAAAUACACAAUCAUCGGAGAUCCAAAACAGUUUUUUAAAAUAGAAACAGACCCUUUUACAAAUGAAGGAAUUUUAACAAUUGUUAAGCCUAUGGACUAUGAGGAGCAAACAUACCAAAAUCUGUCCAUCCGCGUGCAAAACGAGGCUCACUACUUCAAUUGUAAGGUUACGAAGCGUGUGCCUAAUGCCAUGUGGGAGCUGGAUAACUUCAAUGAAAACUCUGCCACAAGUUUUUCAAACCUCUAUAACACCAUUCCAGUGUCCAUUUAUGUUGAAGACAUCAACGACCCUCCGGUUUUUAUACCCCCUGUUAUAGAGAUUGUAGUGAUGGAAAAUAUAAAAGUAGGGACAUUUCUAACAACCUUCACUGCUAAAGACCUGGAUGGAAGACACAUUAACACAUUUGAAUUUGUUAAAGGAGAAGAUAUCGGUGAGUGGAUAACUGUUGAUGCCAAGACUGCCCGAGUAUCCACAGCUAAAAUUCUGGAUAGAGAGUCACCAUUCCUGGUAAACAGCACCUAUAGAGCAACACUGUAUGCUGUGGAUGAUGGUGUACCACCGCUGACCGGAACAGGAACGCUGAUUAUUCAUGUGAACGAUCAGAAUGAUAACGUACCAAUGCUAGAGGAAAACCACAUCAAUAUGUGUCUGGCAAAUGAACCCACAAUGGCCAACAUCACAGCUGUAGAUCUUGACCUUCCUCCAUAUAGCUCACCCUUCUACUUUGAACUAUUGGGAGAUGUUAAGGGCAAAUGGAGGACUGAUCCAGCUCAUGGGACAACUGUGAAUCUUGUAAAAGAAAAUAGUGUAUAUUCAGGCCACCACCUUCUCCAGAUCAGGAUUUCAGAUCAGCAGGGAUGUUAUGCCAUACAGAAUCUGUCCGUCACAGUGUGCGACUGCUCUAUUGUUCCCAAUUGCCAUCUCAGGAUGGUGUCGGAGGCCCGGAUGGAUGCUAGUGCCACCUUGAUUGUUGUCAUUGCAGUUCUGACCCUCAUAGUAAUGUUCUUGAUGGCUUUACUGAUUUCCUGUAAGGCAGAGAAAAAUAUGAUUUUAAUGGAUGAGGGCUUUGGAUGUCUAAUCACAAUGAAUACUGAAAAUCCUGGAACAGACUGCAUGGUGCCUGCCAAUGUAAGUGUCCAUCAGACAGAUUCUUCCAAAGAACGGAACAACAUUAAGGUUGUGAAUAAAGGACAGCAGGCUUUUUUGCAGGUUCCAACACAAGUACGCACUGACCAGAUGUUCCAUAGAUCAAUACACAGGAGCUCCACAAGGCGUUCGUACAGAGAACUGAACACUUUUCAGCGAUCAAGUAUGAGGUCAAGUUUUAGAAGCUUCUCUUCCAACAAUACCAAUACUUCUUACUUGAGGGAAAACCUCUCAUUUCUCAUCAACCAGAAAUUGCUGGCUGUACAAACUCGUGAGGAGGAGAUUGAUGUUUAUGAGCCACACUGUUAUGCAGAUGAAGGCAAAUUUAUGGCUUCUGCCGAACUGGAUGCAAUCUCAAUUCCAGAGAACGACUUUCAUCCAAAUAUGCUCAGAGAUCUGGACAACAAAUUCAAUAACCUAGCAAACAUCUCCAGACCUGACCUGAUGGGAAAUUGACAACUGUCUGUGAGGAAAUAUAGAGUUUUUCUUUUUUUCUUCUGUUUUCUCAAUGUUAUAUGAGUGAUAAGAGGAUUGAUAAAUAUAACUAGAUUUGUAUUUCCUGGAGGGAACACGCAGUGCUUGCAAGGUAGCUGAAGAAUAGUGUUAAAGUUUUAGGUAAGCUCAGGUUUUAGGCUUUGGAUCUGUGUAAAUGAAAUGCCACAUUAGAGCUGCUUUGCUGUUGCCAGGAUGCUCAGGGGCAAAUUCACUAAACAGUUGCAAAACCUUCUGUGUGUCCUAUUUCAGGGCAAACUCCUGCGUCUUUUUGAAUUACAACCCACAAUCUAGUUAACGUAGGCACAAUCAGCUCUAAAAUACUGUUGCAUCUUGAGAAUUUAAGUGCCAGUACAAAAACAUCUCCUUUCAAUGUGAAUAAGACUUAUUGCAGAUUGUACUUUAUACUCAAAACUCUGUGCUAUUUGCCCAGUGCAAUCAGCAUCGCACUAUUAAAACCCCCUUAGCUCUGCAUAACUCUUCAGACCCGCUUGUGGGUCUGUGGGCAGAAGUUCACGUUUAAAAUUUGAAAGUCCCUGGAUACAUAAACAGCACUGAUUGAAAGCUUAAAAUCGUAACAUUUUACACAACUUCAUUACUUUUGCAUUUAUGUUACAUAAAAUACACAAGAUAAGACCUGAGAACCUUCAUACUGCAAAUAAACCCCACCCUGUGGUGAUGUAGGAUUUUGAAUACAAAAAUAAAACUUUUCAGAUAGCAUUUAAAUAGAAAAGUCAUAUAUCAAAUGAAAGCUCUCGUCCCCAGGAAUGUAAUUAUGCAGUUUUGUUUGGCAAUUGUGUUGCCCUAACACUACACUUCGAAUGAUUAUCAAAAGAAUCACAAAGCGAAAUAUUAUCUCUUUAAGGCAUUUAAAGAGAAAUGUCCCAUGUCUUCUCCGAUCACUGCUGCUGUAAGCCUCCAAUAGCCACAAACUCUAUAUCACCUUUUACCUUAGGCUGUUUUCUUCAAAAUGAGACAUUUUCUAAUUGUGUGUGAGCUUGCUUGGGUAAAUAAUCCAAUGUUAUGUUUUAGAUGUCCAGAACUAAAUAUGCAGGCCAGCAGAAAAAGCAUGAAAAACGAAUCAACUGCAAAAUAGGUUAUCAACUUCUGAUGAUGAACUAUUAUACAUCAUCGCAAAUCUGAGAAUCUCAGUUUUCCAACGGACCUUCAUUGAAGGGAUAGUUCACCCAAAAAUGUAAAUUCUCUUAUCAUUUACUCACCUUCAAGCCAUCGCAGAUGUGUAUGACUUUCUUUCUGCAGAACACAAAUGAAUAUUUUUAGAAGAAUAUCUCAGCUUUGUAGGUCCAUUCAGUGCAAAUGAAUGGUGACCAGCACUUUGAAGCUCCAAAAAGCACAUAAAGGCAGCAUAAAAGUAACCAAUUCAACUCCAGUGGUUCAAUCCAUGUCUUUUGAAGUGAUCCCAUCAGUUUUGAGUGAGAACAGACCAAAAUAUGAGUCCUUUUCCAUAUAAAUCUUGAUAUCAGCAGUCUCCUUGGCGAUCGUGAUUUCAAGCUCGAUUACACUUCAUGCAUCAAGCACUAGAAAAUAUCAUAGAGCUUAAAAACAUGAUGGUGCCUAGAGAAUGCAAUGGCAACGAUGCGCACAAUCGAGCUUGCAUAGCAAGAUGCGCCUGCAUCCAUGUAAUAGCGUAGAGUAUGUUUGGGCCUUCAGUCUUCAUAGUCUCUUCAGGAGCUGCUCUGAGUGCGAUCUCCUGUGCAGUUCGGUGACCAUCACAGUUCAUUUUGAGUGCUCACAUAAUGCACUGUUGCCCUGGAAAAUGAGACACACAAAUGUGGCAGUCAUGGCAUUUCAAUAUUCGAUUAAAAUUCCCACAUUUGAAUAGAAAAAUUCGAUUAUAAUUUAAAGUGCUCAAUAAUCGCAUUUAGAUCAAAUGAUUGCGAUUUUUAUUUCUUUUUUUGCUUGCCAACUGCAUAUUCAGUGAAAAUGUACUGAAAUAUUUACAGGUAAUUGCACUAAAUGCCAUUGACAUAAAUUACACAAGUAUGAUUAUUUGUGAGUUUUCACUGCAAAAAUACAGUCAUUUUAUACUGCAAAAAUAAAGAAAAGGUACCACGAAAUCCUGUUUUUGCAAAGGUGUAAUACUUAGAACAAAUCACAACCAGUAUGUUUGAUGAAUGUCAAUACAGUGCUGCCUUUCAAGCACUGUAAUGAUUUGCUUUCAUUUGAUAAACAACUUAGAUGAUUUUAUUUGAUUUUAUUUGAUAAAAACUGAUAGCACAUGGGUGGAUCAUUAGAACUGCUAAGGAGACACCAACAGAACCUCAACAGUUUUGUGUAAACUUGUGUGUUGUCAUCUUGGGGGAGAAAUGUGAACUGUUGUUUCUGUUUGUUAUUUUUUUUCUACAAAAUCUUGCACUGAAUUUUAGUAUUAUUUGUAUCUUUGGUUGGCAUAUGGGAACAGAUGAAUCUUUAAUAAAAAGCAGUAUUUAAUCCACUGAAAUCAG